CCUACGGGUGGCAGCAGUGAGGAAUAUUGGUCAAUGGGCGCGAGCCUGAACCAGCCAAGUCGCGUGAGGGAGGACGGCCCUACGGGUUGUAAACCUCUUUUGCCGGGGAGCAACGGGCGUCACGUGUGGCGCCACUGAGAGUACCCGGAGAAAAAGCAUCGGCUAACUCCGUGCAAGCAGCCGCGGUAAUACGGAGGAUGCGAGCGUUAUCCGGUUUUAUUGGGUUUAAGGGUUGCGUAGGCGGCUCGUUAAGUCAGUGGUCAAAUUGAGGGGCUCAACCCCUGCCAGCCAGUGAAACUGGCGCGAUUGAGUGGAAGAGAAGUAUGCGGAAUGCGAGGUGUAGCGGUGAAAUGAAUAGAUAGCGCGCAGAACCCCGAUUGCGAAGGCAGCAUGCCGGCUUCCGACUGACGCUGAAGCACGAAAGCGUGGGGAUCGAACAGGAUUAGAUACCCCAGUAGUC
rnacentral:rRNA from 1 species